rnacentral:rRNA from 1 species
GAUGAACGCUGGCGGCGUGCUUAACACAUGCAAGUCGAACGAUGAAGCCCAGCUUGCUGGGUGGAUUAGUGGCGAACGGGUGAGUAACACGUGAGUAACCUGCCCUUAACUCUGGGAUAAGCCUGGGAAAUUGGGUCUAAUACCGGAUAGGAGCGUCCACCGCAUGGUGGGUGUUGGAAAGAUUUAUCGGUUUUGGAUGGACUCGCGGCCUAUCAGCUUGUUGGUGAGGUAAUGGCUCACCAAGGCGACGACGGGUAGCCGGCCUGAGAGGGUGACCGGCCACACUGGGACUGAGACACGGCCCAGACUCCUACGGGAGGCAGCAGUGGGGAAUAUUGCACAAUGGGCGCAAGCCUGAUGCAGCGACGCCGCGUGAGGGAUGACGGCCUUCGGGUUGUAAACCUCUUUCAGUAGGGAAGAAGCGAAAGUGACGGUACCUGCAGAAGAAGCACCGGCUAACUACGUG